ensembl:lncRNA
GAAUACUUCUCUGUAGAAACACUUCCUCAAAUGACGGUGGUUCCAGGCUCCUCGUCUUCGCCCAGCAUAAUAUAGGAGUAAAAAGCAGAAGUCAUCAGCAGACAGGUUCCAGCUGUCUCUGGAAGGGAAACGUGCAUAGUUGUGUGGAUGUCUCCCCCCGGUACAUAGUUGCACAUUCAUCGUUGUGGGUUCCUCCAGCUGUGGCAUGUGGGACGCUGCCUCAGCGUGGCCUGACGAGCAGUGGCCAUGUCCACACCCAGGAUUCGAACCAACGAAACACUGGGCCGCCUGCAGUGGAGCGUGCGAACUUAACCACUCGGCCACGGGGCCAGCCCUGUGUCUGGGUUCUUGAUCACUCACUAAGCAGACUUACUUAUUUCUAUGGAUGUGAUUAUUAAUCCAUUUUUGAUCGGAUCUUUUCGACAGUUGCAAAUUUACAUAUUUUUGCAUUCGCCCUUUCAUUCAUUUCCAUUUCAGGUGGCCAUGUGGAUAUGAGGUUGCUGUCUGUGUUUAUUUUGCUACAGAAAGUCAAGCGUGCCUAUAAUUUUUUAACAGAAACACUCCCUUAAAUUUACAUCUUCUGUUCUCUUUUAAACAGACACGCACACGGACAGAGCGCUGCGUGGGUCCUCUGGCCCUCCGCUCUUCCGUCUUUUCUCUUUCCCUCUUUGUCUUCUUUCAGACACAUCGCUGCAUAGGACUUUUAUAAUACCUGCUGGCCGUGUUUUCUACAUCUAUUCAGUGUCAGUCCCAGAAGAGGUGCUGGCGUACUCAGUCAUUCAGUUAUUGGCUGAAGGCUUACAAGACCCGGUCCAUCAGAAGAUCGAGAAGGGAGGAGGGACCAAGAAUGCAAGACAGGAAUUUUGGGGAUUCAGUAGCAUAAAGCUGAGACAAAGGACUGUGCCCUUCACACAUUUUUUUUGCUUUUCUUCUUCAGUCUGUACCUUCGGCUGAGAAGCGGCGUACCCUUAAUGACGAUCAAGGGUAAAGGUUGCUGCCCUCAUAUUGACCUUGGUCCCUUUAGCCAUUGUUUCUGUAGUUGGUGGCCCUUAUCAUGCUCAUCUGUAGUUCUGCCAGAGAGGGGCAAGAGGGCAGUCAGUCUCAAAUCCAUCCCUGUCACUGCUGGUUCGCAGUGCCAGAAUCAGGAGGGUUAAGAAAUUAGAAAUAAAAUUAUUCUGAAGAGGAUCAUUUGUGACUCAUUAAUCCAUGUGAUUUCUGAUGCUCAUUAUCACUGAAAAUUGAGUUGGCUAAGUCUGUUUAACUUUUGUGAUUAAGGAUCAGCGUUAGGAUUUGAUGUUCUGGGGGCUGAGAGAAAUAAAAGGAUUGUGUUCGGCCAUCCUCCCACUCCCACCCACACCCGCCGCUAGCACUGAGUGCUCUGUCCUUGGCCAACAAGUGGUUCUCCAUCGCGUGAAACACUGGCAGGGAAGCCCCCAGAGCAGCGUGGAGGACAGGACAGCAUCUGGCAAGCCUGACUCAGUCCCACUGCCAUCAGUGGGUGACAGCCCUGGCUGCGCGGUGUCUCAACACCCGAGGGGCCCAGAGAGGCAGGCCCGACUAAAGAGAACUACAUGGCCUCUUGUUAACCAGUGGUUGUCUUUUUAUUUUGUUUUACCAAGUUCCAUAAUAGAGCUUUUACCAUCUAAU